CCCGCAGUAGCUCAGCCUGGUAGUCCCGCAAGGGGCCAUUAGCUUCCGGCUGUAGACCGGAGUGUCGUCGGCUCAAAUCCGACCUGCGGGA
rnacentral:tRNA from 1 species